UGGUAGGGACAACUGACCUUGUUGAUGAAU
rnacentral:piRNA from 1 species